UACAGAGGUCUCAAGCGUUGUUCGGAUUCAUUGGGCGUAAAGGGUGCGUAGGCUGCGGGGCAAGUCGGGUGUGAAAUCUCAGAGCUCAACUCUGAAACUGCACUCGAUACUGCUUUGCUCGAGGACUGGAGAGGAGAUUGGAAUUCACGGUGUAGCAGUGAAAUGCGUAGAUAUCGUGAGGAAGACCAGUGGCGAAGGCGGAUCUCUGGACAGUUCCUGACGCUGAGGUGCGAAAGCGUGGGGAGCAAACAGG
rnacentral:rRNA from 1 species